GACGUGAAAGCUGAAAUCCCAUGU
rnacentral:siRNA from 1 species